AUUGAACGCUGGCGGCAGGCCUAACACAUGCAAGUCGAACGGUAGCACAGAGAGCUUGCUCUUGGGUGACGAGUGGCGGACGGGUGAGUAAUGUCUGGGAAACUGCCCGAUGGAGGGGGAUAACUACUGGAAACGGUAGCUAAUACCGCAUAAUGUCGCAAGACCAAAGUGGGGGACCUUCGGGCCUCACACCAUCGGAUGUGCCCAGAUGGGAUUAGCUAGUUGGUGGGGGAAUGGCUCACCAAGGCGAAGAUCCCUAGCUGGUCUGAGAGGAUGACCAGCCAACGUGGAACUGAGGCACGGUGCAGACUCCUACGGGAGGCAGCAGUGGGGAAUAUUGCACAAUGGGCGCAAGCCUGAUGCAGCCAUGCCGCGUGUAUGAAGAAGGCCUUCGGGUUGUAAAGUACUUUCAGCGAGGAGGAAGGCAUUAAGGUUAAUAACCUUAGUGAUUGACGUUACUCGCAGAAGAAGCACCGGCUAACUCCGUGCCAGCCGCCGCAGUAACAC
rnacentral:rRNA from 1 species